rfam:Gossypium raimondii Chr08_contig_1321, whole genome shotgun sequence.
UGUUUAAAAAUCAUCCAUUUUUAUUGCUAAAAAUUGACAUGAUUAACAGAAUAAUCAGAUAGUUACACGUAGCGUGCCGCAUGUACUUCAUUAUGGCGUACAUGGACCAAUUUUUAACAAUAAAAAUGGAUGAAAUUUUAACA